AACACAUGCAAGUCGAACGAGACCUUCGGGUCUAGUGGCGCACGGGUGCGUAACGCGUGGGAAUCUGCCCUUAGGUUCGGAAUAACAGUUAGAAAUGACUGCUAAUACCGGAUAAUGUCUUCGGACCAAAGAUUUAUUGCCUAAGGAUGAGCCCGCGUAAGAUUAGCUUGUUGGUGAGGUAAAGGCUCACCAAGGCGACGAUCUUUAGCUGGUCUGAGAGGAUGAUCAGCCACACUGGGACUGAGACACGGCCCAGACUCCUACGGGAGGCAGCAGUGGGGAAUAUUGGACAAUGGGCGAAAGCCUGAUCCAGCAAUGCCGCGUGAGUGAUGAAGGCCUUAGGGUUGUAAAGCUCUUUUACCCGGGAUGAUAAUGACAGUACCGGGAGAAUAAGCCCCG
rnacentral:rRNA from 1 species